GCUUGUCUCAAAGAUUAAGCCAUGCAUGUCUAAGUACAAGCCUCAGUAAGGUGAAACCGCGAAUGGCUCAUUAAAUCACACCUAAUCUACUGGAAAGUUACUAGUUACUUGGAUAACUGAGGUAAUUCUUGAGCUAAUACAUGCGAAAAAUCUCGACUCACGGAGAGAUGCUUUUAUUAGAUCAAAACCAAACGGCUUCGGCCGUCUCAUUGGUGACUCUGAAUAACUUUGGGCUGAUCGUAUGGCCUUGUGCCGACGACGUUUCCUUCGAAGGUGUGCCCUAUCAACUGUGGACGGUAGGAUCGAGGCCUACCGUGGUGGUGACGGGUACGGGGAAUCGGGGUUUGAUUCCGGAGAGGGAGCCUGAGAGAUGGCUACCACUUCCAAGGAAGGCAGCAGG
rnacentral:rRNA from 1 species